GAACUGAAGAGUUUGAUCAUGGCUCAGAUUGAACGCUGGCGGCAGGCCUAACACAUGCAAGUCGAGCGGAUGACGGGAGCUUGCUCCUUGAUUCAGCGGCGGACGGGUGAGUAAUGCCUAGGAAUCUGCCUGGUAGUGGGGGACAACGUUUCGAAAGGAACGCUAAUACCGCAUACGUCCUACGGGAGAAAGCAGGGGACCUUCGGGCCUUGCGCUAUCAGAUGAGCCUAGGUCGGAUUAGCUAGUUGGUGGGGUAAUGGCUCACCAAGGCGACGAUCCGUAACUGGUCUGAGAGGAUGAUCAGUCACACUGGAACUGAGACACGGUCCAGACUCCUACGGGAGGCAGCAGUGGGGAAUAUUGGACAAUGGGCGAAAGCCUGAUCCAGCCAUGCCGCGUGUGUGAAGAAGGUCUUCGGAUUGUAAAGCACUUUAAGUUGGGAGGAAGGGCAGUAAGYUAAUACCUUGCUGUUUUGACGUUACCGACAGAAUAAGCACCGGCUAACUCUGUGCCAGCAGCCGCGGUAAUACAG
rnacentral:rRNA from 1 species